CCUCCGAGGAACAGGCUGACAAUGCCACAAGUACUUGCCCUGGUGUGCAUGGCCAAAUCGCUGCACCUGUUGACGAUGGACGGGGGAGCAGGGGCACAAAGUAGUGCUAAAUUCGCUAGAAAUUUUUGCCAGAACUCAGCAGUACCCUCGAUGUUCGCUCUGAUAAAUCUUGAAUGGCGGGAGGGAAACGCUCGAAAGUGUAUAAAUAAAACAAAAUGAAAAUCUAAUUUAAAGCGAGCCAAGGCAGCCGGGCGUCAAUAAUUGCCCUGAACUGAAAUUAUGCUGAAAGAUUAAAGUCAUUUAUUAUAAUUUAUUUAUUUUUGUUUUGUGCUCUGCCGUUGCCAUGCGCUCGUGUGGAUCCCCGACAGGAUUGUUGGUCGUUGGGACGAUGGGGCGAUGGGAGUCCUUCGCAAUUACUUUGAAGUGGCGCACUAGCCGAACUAUGUACUCGCAGGGCCGUGGCGCCCCAUUAAAUUUGCCACACUUCAUUGGCUCGCACAGAAAUAAUAAUUUAUUAUUUAAUUUCGCUCGGACAGCGGCGGCUGCUGUGUACCAGUGUCCGUGGGCGUGGCACUGGGCGAACUUGGUUUAAAGUAAUUAAUUUCGGGAAGUGUCAAAGUUGCUGCAUGGCCACGCCAAACUUUUCGUCUGUCCGCGCAGGAGGAUUGGGAAAUUGGAGCUGCUGGUGGCGAUGGUAGUGGAGGUGGAAGUGGAUCCGGAUGUGGCCGGGGGUCACGACGGCGCUUUUUUAAACCAAUCGAGCACUGCCCGAAAUAUAUGUAUUUACCAUUAAAAACGAGGAAGAACGAAAAAACUCGUCAGCGGAUGCUUCAAUAUCCUGGCAAUUAUAAAUAUAAAUGGGCAUGUCAAUAUAAUUGCUGAACCUCCGUAUAGAAACUUCCGAAUCAAGCUGUCUGAAUUAUUGUGAAUAUAUGUCAACGUUUUCAUAUCAAAUAUUUAUGGUGGAUCUUCGAUCCUUUGUGGAAACCACAGGGAAAUUUAAGCCUAUCUUCAUAAAUAAAAGCAACUAAUAAGAUUACACAUUUUUUAAAUAGCUUUAUUAGAUCAUGCGGCGCUGAUAUAUACUUAACAUGAGCCCAUGGUUAUUUCAGCAAUAAAUAAUUGUUUAUUAUUAAACAAUUACACAAUAAUAGCAGCACACAGUUGGGUGGGUCAUUGUUGUUGUGUAAAAUAACCAACCAUUGACAAGUGGACAAAUUUGACCGUCAUUGAUUUUCACUUUCUGAAUAAUGAAGCUAUUAACUUGUUUAAAAGUUUACAGACUCGCAUAGACUUUAAGUUUUAAAGCGCUAAAGGUCAUGAAUUCCAUGGCCUUUUCCCGAAUGCUUUUCGCAUAUCUGCUGUUUGUUUUUCCGCUUUCGAGUUCUUUUCCGCAGAGCUCAUCUGCAGCUUUUCUGAGCGCUUUUCCUCUGACCUCGCCUUAGGCUACAGUGGCAGCAGCAAGUUAAUUUCCACUCGCGAUUUGCCAGUGGACACUGUGCAUGAAGACGCAGAAUAAAUAAAUUAAAAAAUGUUAAUUAAUUUUUAAUAUGCCGAGUCGUCCCCCCGCCAGCACCGAAAUUCAUCAUCUUCAAAGCUGCAAUUAGCCUUUAAUUUACGAUGUGCCACGCACCCCGAAUAUGUUUCGAAUGUAUUUAGGUGGCUGGAAAAAAUGUUCAUAAAUUAAGGAGGACCCUUUUCGUUCGCUUUUAUCUCAAUGCCUCCUUGCUGCUGCUGCUGCUGCACAAUCAUUUAAAUGCGUAAAUUCUCAUAAGGCAUUUUGUGUAGCAUUUUAUGGCAUACUUAGGUCAGACCCGGGAAUCCUCUUCGCCGGGCGGGGGUGGCCAUUAUUCAAGGUAAUUUAAUUUGAGUAGAAUUGCGGACUUGGCUGGCCAAAAUCGAAGCCUUCUCGACCGAAGCGUCUACGGCCAAGGAGGUGGCGAGAAACCGCAAACGGAAUGGCCAAAACCGAGGCAAAUCCAAACAAAUAAACGCUUGACCCACUCCGGCCAACAAUGAGCAAUGUGCCAAAUGAACGGCCAAAGUUCAGCAACGGGCAACUGGAAGCCAGAAGCUGGAAGCUGCAAACUGAAAACUGGGAACUGGCAACUGAGCUGGCGAAAACAUUUUAAAUGCAAAUGAAGUGCCGCACUUAGGAAGCCGUCAGCUGAGCAAAAAAAUAAAAAAAAGAGUGGUGAACGCUGAGUGCCGUUGAAAAUGGCUGAUAAAUUAGAGAGGGAGCCUGGCACCAUGGCUCGAUUUUAAUAAACUUCAAGCCGAAAAGCAGCAGCAGCUCCAAAGUAUGUCAAAAACUGCCUAAAAGCAAAAAACAUCCCCUCUCAUCUCCUAGCGCCACUCAAUCAAGCCUCGAGCGUCUCCCCUUGAAAUUGCAAAGUUUUGGCAACGGGAUUCAAAACCUUUGCCUGCACAAAAAUAAAAAAAAGUGUCCGUGAAAAGCGCUUAUGGCAUUUGACUGGCCCCCAAACAAUCUAGCAAAUUGAAAUGCUCGUAAAUAUUAAUCAGUGGCCACCGGACAGAUAUCUUCUAGCCUUGGAAAGGCAAAAGCCCGGGAUGGGUCAAGUUGUCAAAACUUUCGCAUACAUUGAGUGGAGCUUAGAUUGUGAUAGACUCUGGGGUUUGUUGCUCAUUUCGAGGAAUUCGCGUGAUUUAUUUGUUGCAUAACUCGGCCCGGACUCCAGCUCAACUGAAGUGGGGCGAAAAACUUGCAAAAUAAAUUGAAAGCAACCAAAGUUUGUCAGUCGCACGCCGACCCACCGACAAACUGGAGCGGAAAAGUUUUGCCCUGCAAGUAAUGUACUGUGGAGGCGCUUGUAAAAAAUUACUUGCAUACUUUUUGGCGCGCUUAUAAUUGUUUUCCAUUCCCGGGUCCCGCCACUUACUCCACCCAGCAUUCAACAUUCUCCAUUCAGCAUCCAGCAUCCAGGAUCCAGGAUUCAGUAUUCUCUGCUACCCAGCAGCAGUUUCCAUAUAACUCAUUAGGCAAAAGUUUAAUGCGAAUCCCCACCAACCGCUCCCAGCUGCGGGAGUUUAUGUUGAGAUUUACUUUAACUACUCUUGCGCCUGCAACUAUGCAAUAAAUUGUGCGAAAUUCUGUGUCCUCCUCUCCGUUCUGCAAUCCAUUCAACCAUGGCAUAGCCCUGACCCACAUUGUGUUGCUGCCGAGUGGGUUAGUGGUGGUCCAAAGUUAUAUAAUAAGCAGCAUUAGCUACACAUGUUCGUGGUAAAUCGCUCCGGGGAGAGGCAGCAGGAUCAGGACUGGCUGCCGGACAUUAUUCAGUGGACGCCGCCGCUGCUCAAGUGCAAGUGCUGCAAAGUCAGAUACUUCCCGCUACCCGCACUGGGUAUAUAUGCCACUCCCCCCACCACACCACCACACCGCCCCCUUUGUCGCCCAGCUGGACUGGACUGUCGAAACUUUUCCAAUCUAAGCUAAAUAAAAGGAAAAGUCUCUCGUGUCUAUCAUGUCAGUAGGUAUUUUAUUAUUUUUAACCUCGACGCGUCCCCACCACCCCAUUAUGCCACCACCCCCACUAACCCCACCACCCACAGCACCGCAACCCACCGCCCCCGCACAGCUGUCGCUCAGUUAACCCACCCACUGAAAAUGCUAGGAGUGCUCGUGCUGUCUUCUGCAACUAAUUUGUCAAUGUCAAGUGUUAUUUCUUAUAUUCUCUCGCUCUUUUUUUGUACUUGUGUUGCCUGAAUUUUUGUGUUGUUUCUGGUUGUGGGACUUGCAAAAGUUUUGCGCACGCACACCCACAACGAGAUACAUCACUCCAGGUCUUCCGCACACACACACACACACACACACACACCAUGCCCCAUCUUUGGCAACCGCGUCGCUGUUGCACGUAAUCUGCUAUAUCAAUGUGGUGUGUGCCUUUAGGCGCUCGUGCAUGGGGAUCUCUCGAAGGCGCUAGACAAAUAUGGACUCGCAUUAACUUUUUAAAAACUCAAGCCCGAAGCUGUUGAUUUCCAGAUAUAACUCUAACAAAGCAAAAGUUGUUUUCAAUAAUUUAUAGAGGAGUUGAACCAAAGAACUGGGACUCACUAGUCUUUCCUUUAUAUUCUCAACAAGUGAAGUUUCAAUUAGUCAAAGACCGCUUAAAAAUGGGUCUCAAGCGAUGAGGCAGGCAAAAGGCGCUGGCAAACUUUUUUGGCAGCUUAUAAAAAUUGUUCAACCAAGAGGACCUGAAGCCUCGAAGGCGGGUGGCACAAACAAAACGAAGACUGCCAUCGGGCGGGCAAUAGUUUUGGGGAACGGGAGCUGCCAACUUCAGUUAACAAUCAGCGUCAGUCGGCAGCCAGGUGACAGUUUUAAGAGGAGGAAGCCCCUGCGCUCGGCGGUGCCUGCCUAAUUGCUGUCUUGCUCCGAAAUUCGCUAAGUAGAUUUUCUUGUAUGGCAUUUUAGCGGAGCAGUACAGUUGACACUUUGUGUCAAAGUUCAUUGCAACAGCAGUCGGUCAGGGGUCGUCGUCAGAUGUCCUUGUUGUCAUUGUUGUUGCGUGCCCACGGCGCAUUUUUCGCCUGCUUCGCUUCUUAUUUAUUUUAUUCCUGCUGUACUUCCUCCACGUUUGAUGCUAAUUAAUUGGAUGGGGUUGGCGGAGGAUCCACUACACCCGCGCUUGUUUGUCAAAUUAAUGGGCAACUGUUCAAGUGCUCAGGAGGAGCUUUAGCAAAAUACUUUUUAGCGGAUUUCAAUGGAAAAUGCCAUAAUUGUAUGGCACUCGAGUGACGUUCGCAUUACAAUUGAAAGGCACAGUGGGCGGAUGGCGACUGGCGGAUGGGGGGCGUGGCAUGACGAGGCAUGUGAGCAAAGGCACAUGUGAGCGCCCCAGCGUAAUCACAUGGCCCAGUGAAUUUAUUGAAUGCCUGGCAAGGACAUAAUACAAUUCAAGUACAAGUAUGUAGAAUUUCGUCAUGCCAGGACAACGCAAAUCCCAAGGAAAUACAAGGACGACGACGAACAGAAGCAGGAGGUGCGCGUAAUUCAAUGUCUAUUAGCCAUAGCGCAACAAUUGCUUUUUACGCUCAUCAACGGCGACACCCAAAAUAAUGCCCCUCAGCCUCAUCAUGUUUCCGAAUCGGAUUUACCCGGCAGGAGGAUGGGGCUUUAUGAUGAUGGCAAUGGCUAUGACGAUGAUGCUGAUGCGGAUGCCGAGCAGCUGCUGGCUGUUUUACAAUAAUGCCGAGCAGAACAAGUAGCGGCACAUAUGCUCCCAGAAAGCAGUAAAAAAAUGCUGUGACAAAAAUUGCCUCGAAAAGUUUAUAAAAAUUAAGCGUGAAAUAUAUAUAUUUACUAAGCUACUGUC